rnacentral:lncRNA from 1 species
UCUCCUACCAAAGUAGAGAUUCUCAUUCUAGAAGUACCAUCGUGAAAUGCAUAUGUGCAUUAAUAUGUUUUUUUACUUGAGAUAAUAUAAUCGGAUGUAAUAAAUUAACAUCUAAGGUAUGAAAGAUAAAAAAAAAUUUAUAUUACUAACCUACCAAAACAAGUUUUGCUAGCUUUGUAAAUGCGGGGAAUGUAACAACAUAUAGUUGUGGAUCAUAUGGUAUAUGUUUACAUAAAGCACCAGGAAUCUCAUAUAAAGACCAUAUAACAUUGAUCAACGCAAAGGACUUUACACAUCAAGGAAUGAAGUGGCAAAAUAUUAACUAAAGGAUCUACGAAGAAUGCUUAAACGAUAUAUAAUGAAAUCAGGGGGAGUAUUACAAGUUGCACUCUUAUAUAUCACCAAGAUUUUUUGAAUAUACUCGAGACUUUAUUAAAGACAAUCAAGUCGAGAUGAGAUAUGUCCAAUCCAGCAACAAUUCAACCGAUCUUUUCACAAAAGCACUACCUACAACAACUUUCAGGAAACACGUUCAUGACAUUGGCAUGCGUCACGUACGGAGAAUGUGAUGCCUUACAAAUUGCAACUUGAGGGGGAGCUAUAGACUGCACUCUUUUUCCCUUAGCUAAUGUUUUUUCCCACUGGGUUUUUCUUUAGCAAGGUUUUUAAUGAGGCAGUACUUAAUUACCCCAAAAUUUGCAAAGUGUCAUCCAAGGGGGAGCGUUAUGAAUAAUUCGUUCGGUGAAUGACAACUAGAUGCACAGUAAAAGCGCACACGAUGAUACAUAUAAAAAUUGUGUUGUCUACUUGUCUGUGUUUAAUAUUAUUCAGUUGUCACUCAGUUUUAUAAAGAAAGGUUGA